AUGGGCUGUCUUGUGUGAAGAUGAGCUUUGCUUUACUGAAUGUGGGAUGAGGAGCCUACAUUAGUGAGGUGGAGGUGGAGUAAGUGGGUUUUUUUGAUAGCACAGUUGAUUUUUUGACAGGAGUAUCAAUUGCUCUGAAGUUGCCAAAGUUCUCUUAUCUGGUAAGACUGAAAGGAGGAAGAGAGAAUCUUCAAAAUGUUUAAAGGCUUGCUGAAAGCAGAGCCCAGUGCACAGGAACUAAACCUGCAAUGGCCCCAACCUGAUCCUGAGGAUCAGGCACAAAUCCGGGGUCACAACAGUGCCUCACCACCGGUGUUUGCUUCCUUCUUGAAUCCAUACAGCGAGUCAGCCCUGGCUAGGUGAGUACAGUCAGGGAAAUAGCACAGUGCCUGAGAUGCAUCCUGGUUUCAUAUCUUCAGUAUGAUUUCAUUAUAUUCAUAAUUUCACGAUGAUCUUUGUUUCUGCUGGUUUCCACUUGCAGUGACAUUUUUGGAAAGGCAAUUUCAAGAAGAAAUAAAAAUAGAAAGCUU